rnacentral:rRNA from 1 species
AACGUAGGGACAAGCGUUAUCCGGAUUUACUGGGCGUAAAGCGCCCGUAGGCGGCCUGACAAGUUGGACGUGAAAGCUCCUGGCUUAACUGGGAGAGGCCGUUCAAAACUGUCAAGCUAGAGUCUGGAAGAGGAGAGCGGAAUUCCCGGUGUAGUGGUGGAAUGCGUAGAGAUCGGGAGGAACACCAGUGGCGAAGGCGGCACUCUGGGCCGGUACUGACGCUGAGGAGCGAAAGCGUGGGGAGCGAACAGG